rnacentral:SRP_RNA from 1 species
AACGGGACUAGUCCGGGUGGUUAGGCGUCACCUGUUGCCCGAAACCGUCAUACGCGGGGGACGAAGUCUGUUGGGCGGCUUUGGCGACCUGUUUUUGAAACAUACAACCCGACUGCGAAGCCUCGUCCUGAGAGAUCAGUGUAAAAGAUUGGUUCAAUUCCGGAAGGAAUUGUCCGCUUUGAAUCGCGGAGACCGGUUCAGGCCCGGAAGGGAGCAGACUUACCGUGAACAUCUGGUGCCCUCAGGGUUGCGGGGUGGAGAAGGGAAGAUGCAACGGAUUCAGGCACGCGAUUCCCACCGACAGGCGUGUCCCGUU